rnacentral:rRNA from 1 species
AUGGCCUCCUCGGACGCUAACUCAGCCACGAGCGGCGGCGCCUCGGCGUCCGCGAACCCCGUCCUGGAGGACUUCUUCGACCAACUAGAUCUGAACGAUGAGGAAUUCAAUGAUGUGGAAAUCGAUGAGGAGGAUCCGGUGAUCCAAGAAAGCGUGCGGUGGUUAGCCCUUGCUAGGGUUCAUACCGAGAAGAACUUCUCCCCGGCCGCCUUCUACAAGGAUAUGAGAGCGGCCUGGAAUCCGGCUCAAAGGGUGAGAUUUUGCCCUGUUGGUCCCAAUAGAUUCAUAGUUCAAGCCUCAUGCCUGGGUGAUUGGGAGCGGAUGAUGAUGCAUGGGCCUUGGCUUCUUCGAAACAUGGCGGUUCUGAUGUGCCCGUAUGACGGGUUUACCAAAGCUGAUGAGGUAGUCUUUGAUCAUAUGCCUAUUUGGUUACAGAUUCACAAGCUGCCGGAUCCCUAUUGCAAGCAGGAGAUUGUGGGCAAGUUGUUGAAAGGCGCAGGCAAAAUCCUGGAGAUGAGACUGAACAGCAACACCUGCGGCGACUACAUUAGGGUUAGGGUGGAGCAUGACAUAAAACUCCCCCUAACCAAGUUUGUGAGCAUAGUUCGAUCUCAAGCAAGACAAGUUUAUCUGGUUCGCUAUGAGAAGUUGGCCAGAUUCUGCAAGUUCUGUGGCCUUAUUGGACAUGAGCACAAGGAGUGCGGCUCCGGGGUUCAUGAUCAACAGAAGCUCAAGUUCGGUGACUGGCUAUACGCCGACGGCCCUAGCCGUUCAUGUCCCGAACCAAACCCUAGCAGGGCAAAUGCCCCUCGGCAGCCGGGAGACAAUGGUAGUUCCAAAGCUCCGUUGGAUCCUAGGAUACAUGGGACUGAUCCGGAUAUACUGGAUACGGCUACCAGCCCACCUAAGUUACAUCAUGAACAUAUGGAGCUAGAACGUGAGGCAAGAAAGAGGCUCAAUAUGGAUAUAGCUAGGGAUGAGGGCAUGCACACAUCCAACCAGCCCAAAACCCUACUUGCCAUCACGGAUGGUAGUGGGAAGGAUGGUGGGGAGGCUACUUCACCUUCGAGCAGUACGUCUAGUAGCAAACGCGCCAAAUUGUCACAAGAUCAUAUUACAAAUGAGAUAUCGGCGGCCUCCCAUGAGGAGGACCGCCGGACACAAUGA